rnacentral:rRNA from 1 species
AUAAAGUGGAUUAGCGGCGGACGGUGGGUAACACGUGAGUAACCUGCCUUAGACAUUGGGAUAGCCUCGGGAAACCGGGAUUAAUACCAAAUAAAAUCAUAAUGACACAUGUCAUAACGAUCAAAACUCCGGUGGUCUAAGAUGGACUCGCGUCCCAUUAGCUAGUUGGUAGAGUAAAAGCCUACCAAGGCGACGAUGGGUAGCCGGCCUGAGAGGGUGAACGGCCACAUUGGAACUGAGAAACGGUCCAA